GCUAAUUGGUUCCUAGGCCCGGCUUUCUGUUUGGGGGCCAUUCUUAAUUUCUAGUUGAAUCCAGAUGUUGAACGGUCCUUGAAGUUCUAUUCCAGGGCUCCCAGGCAGCAGAAUCUGCCCACAGAGUUCGGUUGGUGUCUCACCUUUAACUCUCCUUAUGCUGGGUGAAAACAAAGAGUGAUAGAUUCGUGUGGCCUUUCAAAUGAUUGUGAAGUGGUGGAAAUGGAUCCAAAAUAAUAAGUGACUUCUCUACCAAAGCAUAGAAGAUUCUUCAUAUCUCCUUCCAGUGGCUCAAUUUAGAUUUUGGGAAGGAGCAGAACAAGUGAAACACAGAAAACUGAAGAGAAGAAAUCCUCAUUUUGGACCUAUAUUUCUCCUUGACUAUUUCUUAAUAUCCAUCCUACCCAUCGUUCUAAUGUUUUAACUUUGCUCUGAAUUUAUAAAUAGUAAAGGCCAAAGACAUAGAAUAUACAUUUAGUAGCUUUAUACCAAGAAAUUUGCCUUGAAAGCUGCUGUUCGUGGAGGGAAAAGUGUAGCAAAUUCCUGUCUAUUUUUAUUUUUUAUUUUUUUUUAACAAAGACAAGAUUUAUGUCCCUAGAUUUUGAAGGUUAAGGCAAAUAUAAAUACAUAUCUGCACACUAUUUUUUAGCAGUUGCAUGAGUAAGAGUAAUGAGAUUUGUAUUUUAAGGACUUUGUCAUGUGGAUGUUUUGGAGUUGACUGCUCA
rnacentral:lncRNA from 1 species